rnacentral:misc_RNA from 1 species
UGGUUCCGGCAUCGAUGAAGAACGCAGCGAAAUGCGAUAAGUAAUGUGAAUUGCAGAAUCCAGUGAACCAUCGAAUCUUUGAACGCACAUUGCGCCCCCCGGCACUCCGGGGGGCAUGCCCGUCCGAGCGUCAUUGCCAUCUCAAGCCUCCGGCUUGGUUCUGGGCCCCGUCCCCCCAACUCUCCGGGGGGACCGGCCCCAAAAGCAGUGGCGGCCCGAGGGUGACCUCCAGCGCGGUGGCAUCCAUUUCCGCUGGGUGAAGAGUCGCUCCGGGCCGGCGUCAGACAACCGACCAACAAGUAUAACCUUGACCUCGGAUCGGGCAGGGAUACCCGCUGA